CGAGGGGAUAGUGAAGCUCCGACCGCUAUACGCAUCAAGGCGUGGGGUGCCAGGAGCAGCACUUCAACCUUGGGUUUGGUUUAUGCCGGGCUUUACAACCAACGGUCCGACGUUGAGGUCGAGGGGAUAGUGAAGCUCCGACCGCUAUACGCAUCAAGGCGUGGGGUGCCAGGAGCAGCACUUCAACCUUGGGUUUGGUUUAUGCCGGGCUUUACAACCAACGGUCCGACGUUGAGGUUCGUAGACCGCGCAAACGUCCCCAUGGAAGGCGUAAAGUUCCAACCGGCGGCUUUUUAG
rnacentral:lncRNA from 1 species